UCAGACAUAAAUAAACCUCUAGUUUACCAGAGUACUACGAGCUAUUAACUUAAAACUCAAAGAGCUUGGCGGUGCUUUAGACUUUUCAGGGGAACCUGUCUCGUAAUCGACAAUCCACGAAUUUACCUUACCUUUUCUCGCAGUCAGUAUGUAUACCGUCGUCGCCAGGUAACUUUUUAAAAUAUAGAAGUUAGCAAGGAAACCCUUUAGUUUUCACGUCAGAUCAAGGUGCAGCCCAUGAAAAGGAGAUGAUGGGUUACAAUUAAAAUUUAUAACUACGGAUAUCAACUUUUAAAAGUUUUUAGAAGGAGGACUUGAAAGUAAAAUUUAGAAGUUAAAUUCUUUGAAUUAAGCUCUGAAGCG
rnacentral:rRNA from 1 species